ensembl:lncRNA
CCAGUGUCAGGGAUUUGUUGUCGGUAACGUGACAAGUGCGAACAGAAACUAAGUGUGUGAAGCGUGUGUGUAUGUAGGUUUGUGUGAGUGUGUGAGUGUGUGUGUGUGGGGGAGGGGGGUGGUGGAGCGUGUGUGUAUGUAGGUUGGGUGGGGGGCAUAAUCUGUUCACCAUUGUGACAGCUUGUGGGAAGAAAAUGUCCUUCAUCCUGGAUCUGCAGCCGAUGCUCCUGUACCUCUGUCCGGAAGGCAGGAGGGAGAACAUGCCAUGAGAAGGGUGGAGAAGGUCCUUUAUGAUGGAGGUGGCUCUGAGAAUGCAGCGUCGUUGAUAUAUCUCCAUCAGGGAGGAGAGAGAGACACCAAUGAUUUUUCUAGCUGUCUUUACUAUCCUGUCGAGCUGCUGUUGUUCGUGGGCCUUGCAGCUCCCAGGAAGUGAGGCUGUAGCUCAGGGUGCUUUCGAUGGUUCCUUUAUAGAAGGUGGUGAGGAGAUGAGUGGGGAGGCCUGCUUUCCUAAGUCUCCGGAGGGGCUGGAGUCGUGACUGUUAGUGGUGGAGGUCAAGUCAUCCGGCAGGUGGACUCCCAGGAAUUUGAUGUUGCUGACCCUCUCCAUGGUAGCACCAUCAAUGAUCAGCGGUGAGUGGUGGUGCUGCCAGCCCUCCUGAAAUUUAUCACCAUCUCUUUUGAUUUCUCCACGUUGACGCUGAGAUUGUGAAUUUUGGAAGCUGCUCCACUUCCAGCCUAUAUGUGGACUCGUCAUUGUCACUAACAAGACCUACCACUGUUGUGUCGUCAGCGUACUUAAUAAUGUGGUUGGAGCUAACUCUGGUAACGCAGUCGUGAGGGAGCAGGCUGAACCCCAGGGGGCUCAGGCCUUGAGUAUGGCCUUGGGGUGAGCCCAUACUCACUGUGAUGGUUCUUGAUCUUUGUCUGCCACCGCUGCGUCAGGAAGUUGAGGACCCGGUUAUAGGUGCCCGUGUCCUCCUCCAACAACCUCAGCUUUUCCACCAGCUGUUGUGGAAUGAUCCUAUUAAAAGCAGAGCUGAGGUCAGUGAAAAGGAUCCGGGCGUAGGUGUUCUUCCUUUCUAAGUGUGACAGCGUGAGGUGGAGAGAGGUGUAGUGGAGAUAGCAUCCUCUGUGGAUCGGUUAGUUCUAUAAGUAAACUGUAAGGGAUCCAGGUUAGCAGGGAGACAGGUCUUAAUGUGCUUCAUGACCAGGUGCUCAAAGCAUUUCAUUAUAAUAGGUGUGAGGUCCACAGAACAGACGUCAUUUAGUCAGGCUGGAUUUGGCCUCUUCGGGACAGGAAUAAUAGUGGCACUUUUGAGGCAGGUAAGCAUCCGUGCUUCCAAAAGCAGCAUUUUGGGCUCUCACUACUGAACAGACGUCCCUGGUUAGCCACGGUUUCUGAUUGGUGCGCCCUUGAUGAUUUUGACUACUGUCACAUCAUCUGUGCAGUUACUAUUACAGACCCAGGACAAACGCUGUAUGUUCCUGCGGAUCAAUAAUGCUGCCAUGUGUUGCUGCCUCUCUAAAAAUCUCCUACUGUGUGGUUUCCAAACAGUCUUGCAGUCCUGAAGUAGAUUCUUAUGGCCAUAUUUUCAUUUCUCUGACCACUGGCUUGGCCUGUCUCACCCGGGUCUCUGUGCUGGAUUGAGUAUAACGGCCAGGUGGUCAGAGUUACCAAUAUGUGUAAGUGGGGCUGCUGUAUAUGAGUCUUUAAUAUUCAUGUACAAGUCUAGUGUAUGUUUCCUCCUGGUUGCAAUAUUCACACUCUGGUAGAAAUUAGACAGAACAGAUUUAAGUCUUGCCUGGUUAAAGUCUCCAGCAACAAUAAAGAAAGCAUCGGGAUGGUUCAACUGCUGCUUGCUGAUGUUAUUGUAGAGCUCUGACAUUGCCGUCUUCCCGUUAGCGCUCGGUGGAACAUAGACAGCCAUUAUGAUGACUGCCGUCAGCUCUCGCAGCAUGUUGAAGGAUCUGCAUUUUACCGACAUUAGCUCUACAUGCGGAGAAUAGUAAGUAGAAUCACCACGGCAUCGUGACACCACGAUUUGUUGAUGUAAAUAGUCAGUCCACCUCCCCUUAGCUUGUCGGCUAGCGAGGCUACUCUGACCACUCUGUAUAGCGUAAGCCCCUCCACCCAGGUCGUGGCAUCCGUGAUGUUCUGAUUUAAUCACGUCUCAGUGAAAACGUAAACCCUGCAGUCCCUCACUCUGCGUUGUGAAGCUCUCCACAGUCUGAUGUAAUCCACCUUAUUGUUGAGAGAGCAAACAUUUGCCAGCAGUGUAGUUCCGGCCGGUUUGUGUGGAUUAGCGGUCAGCCUGGCCCGUACUCCUGCGCAUUUGCCCCGCCUCCACGUCCUGUCACACCGCUUACGGUGCUUCCUCACCGCUGUUGCCCCAGGCGUGGCCAUGGGUUUCCUUGGGCUUACACACCAUGCGAGUCCAGGUUCGCUCAACAUGCUCGCCAAAUGUUCAUUGUAACAGAAAACUUCGCUACGAAUGUCCAACAGAUGUUGUGGCUCAUGCACACGUUUCCCUUCACAUCACUCACUCCAUAAACGUACUGCACUGCACGUCACUAGGAGAGGCCACCGCAAACGUCGGUCGCACCGCCAUGUAUAUUACAUUUAUAUUAUAGGCUCAGCUGCCUUUCUAAAGAAAAGAAGAUAUCAGUCCUUCCAUUCACCCAUCCUUUUACUCAGUUAUUCAUCUGUUCAUCCAUCCUUCCAAUCAUGUAUGCAUUUGUUCCACUGUCUGAUUUGUGGAGGUAGUGGUGUUUUUCCACUGCGCUCAAGAAGUACAGUACCACACCGACAAUGUUCUCGCUGACAAAAACUCCAUCUUUAUUUUCACAUGAUUAUUAGUUUUUACAGAUCAGAUUCCUGAGACAGAGCUAAUGUUCAGAGGAGCGAGAGGAACGAGUGAUGUUCAGGUGUUCAGAAGAGCGAGAGGAACGAGUGAUGUUCAGAGGAACAAACAGGGGAAAUAAUGUGUGCAUUAAAAACUGCUGAUGUAAUGAAAUGUGAAGCUGAAGGUGGUGUCAGUGACCUCCAUCACCAUUGUGUCUGAUUUACACUGCAGCAGCUGUCAGGAGACGUGGGGGAGGGGAGGGGCUCGGUGUGUGGGGGAGGGGGCGGAGUUACAUUAUAAAUACAGCUGUACUGCCAUAAAGCAGGUCAUAUAAUACAAUGGUGUAGAACCAGCAAAGUCUCACUGACAGUCAUCCAUUUGUUCAUCCAUCUAUCCAUCUGUUUAUCUGUAAAUCCAUCCAUGUAUUUUUCCAUACGUCGAUCUGUCCAUCAUCUAAAAAAUUAUCUAUCCUUCAGUCCUUUUCCCAUCAUCCAGCAUCUAAUUUCCUCUCUAUCUAUUUCAACAUCCUUCCAUCCAUCUCUCUCUACUGGUUCAUCCAUCUCUCUCUACUGGUUCAUCCAUCUCUCUCUACUGGUUCAUCCGUCUGUCUCUACUGGUUCAUCCUUCUGUCUCUACUGGUUCAUCCGUCUGUCUCUACUGGUUCAUGCUUCUGUCUCUACUGGUUCGUCCAAUAGAUAUCAACAUAUAGAUAUCAUCACGUUACCAGUAGAGACCCACAAGGACCAUUAUAGUUUCCAUUAAAACCAAUAGAAUUCCCAUUAUUACGGUUUUUUCAGCAGGGUAUGAAUUUCACUGCAUUAGAGAAGAACAUUUCAAACCAAGAAAGAUUGCACGCACACACACACACACACACCGUUUCCCGCAAAAUAGGUUGUAACAGUAAUGACAAAAUUAGACAAAAAAACACCAGAUCCAUAUCUCCGCCUGGUGUCUCACUGAAGGUAAGCAGUGUUGAGUCUGGUCAGUACCUGGAUGGGAGACCUCCUGGGGGAAACUAAGGUUGCUGCUGGAAGUGGUAUUAGUGAGGCCAGCAGGGGGCGCUCACCCUGUGGUCUGUGUCGGGUUUAAUGCCCCGUUAUAGUGACGGGGAGUAAAAAACACCUAAACCCGGUGUCCUGCCCAAAUUCUCCCACUGACCCUUCUCUAUCAUCCCCUAAUAAUCUCCAUCUCUGAAUUGGCUUCAUCACUCUCUCCUCUCCACUAAUAGCUGGUGUGAGGUGUGAGUUCUGGAGCGCUAUGUCUGCUGUCACAUCAUUCAGGUGGAGGAUAGACACUAGUGGUGGUUGAGGAGAUCCCCCCCUACACUAUGUAAAGCGCUUUGAGUGUCUAGGAAAGCACACUUUAUAAAUGUAACUACCAAACAUCAUAGAUACAGUCCCCUCUGAUGAUAUUGGGACGGCAUGGCCGAUUUAUUUGUUUUUACUGUAGAUUGAAAACAUCUGGGUUUGAGAGCAAAAGAUGGAGAUGAGACGAGAGUUUAGAAUUUCAGAUUUUAUUUCCUGGUAUUUAUAUGUAGACCUGUUAAACGGCAUAGAACAUAGCACAUUUUGUAUCAGACGACCCAAUUUGUAGGUGAGCGAAAAUAUUGCAACUGACAGGUGUUUCUUGUUACCAGGAUAUUUAAACAAUAAACAGCUAUGAACAUCUACUCUUCAGUUUCACCUGUGAAGACUGCAUUUGUUGUUAAAAAGGACAAACCAACAUGACGAUCAGAGAGCUGUAUAUGGGAAAAAAGCGAGCCAUUUUGAAGCUGAUGAAAAGAGGGAAAAUCAUUCAGAGGCACUGCACAGACAUUGGGUAUAACCAGUACAACAAUCUGGAAUGUCCUGAAAAAGAAAGAAACCGCUGGUGUGCUGAGGAACAGACGCCGAACGGGUCGGCCAGGGAAAACAACAACAGCUGAUGACCAACACUGUGAGAGCUGUGAAGAAAAACCCAAAACAACAGUCAGUGACAUCACCAACAACCUCCACAGGGCAGGGUGAAGGUCUCACCAUCCACCAAAGAAGACUUGGAGAGCAGAAAUAUAGAGGACAUACCACAAGAUAUAAACCACUCAUCAGCAGUAAGUGUCAGAAAUCCAGACUGGAAUUCACAAAGAAAUACAGAGAUGAUCCACAAACGUCCUGAACCGACAUGAACCUCUACCAAAGUGAUGGAAAGACCAAAGUGUGGAGAAAGAAAGGAUCUGAUCAUGAUCCAGAACAUACAAGCUGAUCUGUGAAACAUGGUGGAGGUAGCGUCAUGGCUUGGGCUUGCAUGUCUGCUUCUGGAACAUUCUCACUGAUCUUUAUUGAUGAUGAACUUAUGAUGGAGCAGCAGAGUGAAUUCAGAACUUUACAGGAACAUCCUGUCUUUUAACUUCAUCAUGCAGCAAGACAACGAUCCAAAACACACUUCCACCUCAACACAGGACUUCAUCAGGGGGAAAGUGGAAGGUUUUAGACUGGACACGUCCAUCACCAGACCUUCACCCAACUGAUCAGCAUCUCACCUCCUGAAGAGGAAACAAACAACUACUGAAAGAAGCUGCAGGAGAAACCUGGAGAAGCUUCACAGCAGAAGAAACCAGCAGUUUGGUGUCAGUGAGUCGCAGGAUUGAUGCAGUUACUGCGAGAAAAAGAGAACUGCAAAUGAAUAUUAAGUGUUAUUUACUUUUAUUUACUUCAGGACUUUUGCUCGCCUAAAAAAUUGGGUGGUCUGUUACAAAAAGUUACAUGUUUUAUGUUGUUAACACGUCUAGAUGUAAAUAACUGGAACGACAUCUAUAACAUCUACAUCUAUAACAUCUACAGCAUCCACAACAUCUACAAGAUCUAUAACAUCUAUAACAUCUAUAACAUAUACAUCUAUAACAUCUAUAAAAUCUAUACGAUCUAUAACAUCUAUAACAUGCAUCUAUAACGUCUACAUCUACAUCUAUAACAUCUACACCUAUAACAUCUACAUCUAUAACAUCUACACCUACACCAACUACAUCUGUAACAUCUACAACUAUAACAUCUAAAACAUCUACAUCUAUAACACCUAUAACAUCUACAUCUAUGCAUCGACAUUUAUAACAUCCACAUCUAUAACAUCUGUAUCUAUUCAACUACAUUCAUAACAUCUACAACUAUAACACCUAUAACAUCCACAUCUAUACACCAUCUACAUCUAUACACCAUCCACAUCUAUACACCAUCUACAUCUAUACACCAUCUACAUCUAUACACCAUCUACAUCUAUAACACCUACAACUAUAACAUCUACAUCUACAUUUAUAACAUCCACAUCUAUAACAUCUACAUCUAUUCAUCUACAUUUAUAGCAUCCACAUCUAUAACAUCCACAUCUAUACCAUCUACAUCUAUAACAUCCACAACUAUAACACCUAUAACAUCCACAUCUAUAACACCUACAUCUAUAGCAUCUACAACAUCUACAUCUAUAACAUCUAUAACAUCUACAUCUAUAACAUCUACAUCUACAUCUAUAACAUCUAUAACAUCUACAUCUAUAGCAUCUACAACAUCUACAUCUAUAACAUCUAUAACAUCUACAUCUAUAACAUCUACAUCUACAUCUAUAACAUCUAUAACAUCUACAUCUAUAACAUCUACAACAUCUACAUAUAUAACAUCUACAACAUCUACAUCUAUAACAUCUACAUCUACAUCUAUAACAUCUAUAACAUCUACAACAUCUACAUCUAUAACAUCUACAUCUACAUCUAUAACAUCUAUAACAUCCACAUCUAUAGCAUCUACAACAUCUACAUCUAUAACAUCUAUAACAUCUACAUCUGUAACAUCUACAUCUACAUCUAUAACAUCUACAUCUAUAACAUCUACAACAUCUACAUCUAUAACAUCUACAUUUAUAACAUCUACAUCUAUAACAUCUAUAAAAUCUAUAACAUCUACAACCUGAGCCACAGCUGCCCAUGUUGUAGAUGUUAUAUAUGUAGAUGUUUUAGAUGUUAUAGAUGUAGAUUGGGUCGUCCACUAAUCGUAGGGUUGGAGGUUCGAUUCUUGGCCCACGUGACUCCACAUACUGAAGUGUCCUUGGGCAAGACACUCCAAGUUGCUCCUGAUGGAAGUUAGUGCCUUGCAUGGCAGCUCUGCUACCACUGGUGUGUGAGUGUGUGUGUGAGUGUGUGUGUGAGUGGGUGAAUGAGACACAGUGUAAAGUGCUUUGGAACCACUAAGGUUAAAAAAGCGCUAUAUAAGUGCAGACCAUUUACCAUUUACCUAUGACUCCUAUAACAUCUACAACAUACAACAUCUAUGAAAUGUAUAACCUCUACAACACCAUGCCUCUGUACACCAUACCUUCAUCAACAUUAUCAGUUCGGUAUUUUAGACUCUUUUCCUCAACCCCUGGAGCACCGGUUUCUAAAAUCUCCACCCAGUGGUGUGUGUUAAUGGAUAAACGGGAGCAGGAUUCAUGCUGCAGUGCACACCCACAUCACACACUCACACACACUCCUCUGGUCCCUUCAGGUCAGAGAGUGCACACUCCUGCUUGAUGCUGCAGCAUGGAUCAGAAAAACGGCAACGGCAGGUGAAAAUGUGGUCUACCCAUCUCUCUCUCUCUCGCCCGCUCUCUCUCUCGCUCUCUCUCAGACUGUCUGACUUUCUCUCUGUCUGUCUCUAUCUGCUGUGCAGGCUUUUCCUCACAGGAGGAAGAUGAUGGAGAUGAAGAUGUGUGUCACGUCACAUUGAUGCUGCUGAUGAUCAUAGUGAUGAUGAUGAUGAUGAUUAUAGUGAUGAUGAUCGUUACAUAAAAUGUAAUUAUUUCCUAAAUCACCUCCACCAUCAGUGCUUUUCUGUGUGAUUACGUAAUAUAUAAAAUAACACAAUGGCAUGUAUGAAGGCGAGGUGUUCACUGGCGUGUGCUUGUAAAGGACACGGAUCUUGCUCCCUGCUCAAGUUCCUGCUUUUUAUAUUGGCACGAAUAUAUGAAUGUAAUAUUUAUAUCUUGGGCAGUAUGAUGAUGUAAUCAUGUUUUGAAAAUGGACAAGAUGAUGGGAGAAGAAGGAAAAGAUGCAUGGUGUGUGCCAAUGAGGUACGGCAGUGCGGUAGCCAUAUCUGUGGACUAACACACUGGGAGAUUGCUCACACACACACACACACACACACACACACACGGUGCGCUGAGGUUGAGGCAUUUUCUCUCAGUGAUGGUGCAGAAAGCCUGCAGGCCACAUUUUACUACCAAUACACACACACACACACACACACACACACACACACACACACACACAUUUUAUAUAACUAUAAAUAUAAAUAUAUAUUAAAUUAUAUAAGGUCUCACGGGCAGCCGUUUUUGUUCAGCCCUAUUAUUCAAGUUACAUUUUUUAAAAUGUCAGAAAAAAUUAAUGCAAAUUAUUUUAUAACAAUAAAAUAUUGAAGAAUAAAAUACUGAGGAAUAAAAUGCAGCAGCAGCAGCAACGUGUCCAGCCUCCUAAUAAAUAAUACACACGGUGAUGGAAUAUAAAAACCUGGAGUCCAGCGCAGAUCCAUCAUAAAAAUGCAGAAAAAAAGGUUUAGAUUUGGGCCUGCUAACCCCCAGCCUGACCACCACACCACACCACCUCCUCCACCCCC